UGCGAAGGGGGCAAGCGUUGUUCGGAAUUACUGGGCGUAAAGGGCGCGCAGGCGGCUCAUUUUGUCAGGCGUGAAAGCCCCGGGCUUAACCUGGGAACUGCGUUUGAUACGGAUGGGCUAGAGUUCGGGAGAGGAGAGUGGAAUUCCCAGUGUAGAGGUGAAAUGCGUAGAUAUUGGGAGGAACACCAGUGGCGAAGGCGGCUCACUGGACCGGAACUGACGCUGAGGCGCGAAAGCGUGGGGAGCAAACGGG
rnacentral:rRNA from 1 species